UACGUAGGGGGCUAGCGUUGUCCGGAUUUAUUGGGCGUAAAGAGCGUGUAGGCGGCCAGGUAGGUCUGCUGUGAAACUCGAGGCUCAACCUCGAGACGUCGGCGGAAACCAUCUGGCUAGAGUCCGGAAGAGGAGAGUGGAAUUCCUGGUGUAGCGGUGAAAUGCGCAGAUAUCAGGAAGAACACCCGUGGCGAAGGCGGUUCUCUGGGCCUUACCUGACGCUGAGGAGCGAAGCGUGGGAGCAAACAGG
rnacentral:rRNA from 1 species